rnacentral:rRNA from 1 species
UGGGGAAUAUUGCGCAAUGGGCGAAAGCCUGACGCAGCAACGCCGCGUGGAGGAUGAAGGUCUUCGGAUUGUAAACUUCUGUCUAGUGAGAAGAAAGACUUGCUAAUAAAACGGGCAAGGGAUGACGGUAUCACUAAAGAAAGCACUGGCUAAUCUCGUGCCAGCAGCCGCGGUAAUACGAGAGGUGCGAGCGUUAUUCGGAAUCAUUGGGCGUAAAGGGUGCGUAGGCGGGAUGGUAAGUCUGUUGUUAAAUCUCCUGGCUCAACCAGGAAAGUGCAAUGGAAACUGCUGUUCUAGAGGGUGAGAGAGAGAAGUGGAAUUCCAGGAGUUAGCGGUCAAAUGCGUAGAUCUCUGGAGGAACACCGAUGGCGAAGGCAGCUUCUUGGCUCAUUUCUGACGCUGAGGCACGAAAGCGUGGGGAGCAAACAGGAUUAGAUACCCCCGUAGUCC